rnacentral:rRNA from 1 species
CGGAGGGUGCAAGCGUUAUCCGGAUUCACUGGGUUUAAAGGGUGCGUAGGUGGGCUUGUAAGUCAGUGGUGAAAUCUCCGGGCUUAACCCGGAAACUGCCAUUGAUACUAUAGGUCUUGAAUUAUCUGGAGGUCAGCGGAAUAUGUCAUGUAGCGGUGAAAUGCUUAGAUAUGACAUAGAACACCAAUUGCGAAGGCAGCUGGCUACAGGUAUAUUGACACUGAGGCACGAGAGCGUGGGGAUCAAACAGGAUUAGAUACCCUGGUAGUCCACGCCCUAAACGAUGGAUACUCGACAUUUGUGAUACACAAUAAGUGUCUGAGCGAAAGCAUUAAGUAUCCCACCUGGGAAGUACGACCGCAAGGUUG